AACGGAGGGGGGGCAUUACACUGUCGUGCAGGCGUUUGUAACGCCUGAUGGUGGGCGGUUACAACCGCCCGCCUUUCCCAGCAAUCGGAGGCUACAAGAAGCCUCGAUCGGAUCCGGUGUUAGACCCACGCCGUCGGAGCAGAGGGCUGCAUCGCCGGAGUAGGAGACGAACGAUCCCCUUCAGAGCAGGUGAUCAAGGAUUUGUCACCCGGACGU